CGCUGGCUUCUUAGAGGGACUAUCCGCUCAAGCGGAUGGAAGUUUGAGGCAAUAACAGGUCUGUGAUGCCCUUAGAUGUUCUGGGCCGCACGCGCGUUACACUGACGGAGCCAGCGAGUACUUCCUUGACAGAGAUGUCCGGGUAAUCUUGUGAAAC
rnacentral:rRNA from 1 species